rnacentral:RNase_P_RNA from 1 species
UCCGCUCUUUGGAUGACCGCUCCGGCGCAGUUUCGGCGAAGCCGAACGAAGCCUGAGAGGAACGUCCGGGCAUCACCGGAACACCAUGCGGGUAACGCCCGUCGCUCCGCACAUAUACGGCAAAUGCGGAGUAGGACUAGUGCCACAGAGACGAUCCCCUUCAGUGGGGAGUGAAACGCCCCGAAUCAACGGGGAUUCGGUAAUUAACUUCAGCGGGAGAUGAAACACGCUCCCGCAGAGGUCCAUCGGAUCGGUAAACUCAUGGUGAUGCAAGGAGGGUUUGGGUUUUCGGAGUCCGGGGUGGUUCCGCCCCGCCGAUCACUCCUCCGCGCACGCUCCGCAUCCAUCGUGGUGUGUGGGCGAGGUCUCGCCGUAAGGCGGACCCCAGAGAGAUGGUCAUCCCCUGGCGUUGUCGCAAGACGAAGCCAGGGACAGAACCCGGCGUAUAGAAGAGCGGAAACA